CUGUGUGCAGUGCUCUGCUGAGGAAGGUGCUCAUUGCAUUCAUUUAUAAGAGUAAUUAGGACCUCCCUGAGCGGAGUAAUGCUCACUUA
rfam:Canis lupus familiaris chromosome X, whole genome shotgun sequence.